rnacentral:rRNA from 1 species
CCUACUCCUACGGGAGGCAGCAGUAGGGAAUCUUCCGCAAUGGACGAAAGUCUGACGGAGCAACGCCGCGUGAGUGAUGAAGGUUUUCGGAUCGUAAAGCUCUGUUGUUAGGGAAGAACAAGUGCCGUUCAAAUAGGGCGGCACCUUGACGGUACCUAACCAGAAAGCCACGGCUAACUACGUGCCAGCAGCCGCGGUAAUACGUAGGUGGCAAGCGUUGUCCGGAAUUAUUGGGCGUAAAGGGCUCGCAGGCGGUUUCUUAAGUCUGAUGUGAAAGCCCCCGGCUCAACCGGGGAGGGUCAUUGGAAACUGGGGAACUUGAGUGCAGAAGAGGAGAGUGGAAUUCCACGUGUAGCGGUGAAAUGCGUAGAGAUGUGGAGGAACACCAGUGGCGAAGGCGACUCUCUGGUCUGUAACUGACGCUGAGGAGCGAAAGCGUGGGGAGCGAACAGGAUUAGAUACCGGGGGUAGUCC